rnacentral:rRNA from 1 species
UACGGAAGGGGCAAGCGUUGUUCGGAAUCAUUGGGCGUAAAGGGCGCGUAGGUGGUUCUGUAUGUCUACUGUGAAAGCGUACGGCUCAACCGUAUUUUGUCGGUGGAAACUGCAGGACUUGAGGCUGGUAGGGGCAAGCGGAAUUCCUGGUGUAGCGGUGAAAUGCGCAGAUAUCGGGAGGAACACCAAUGGCGAAGGCAGCUCGCUGGGACGUUACUGACGCUGAGACGCGAAAGCGUGGGGAGCAAACAGG